rnacentral:rRNA from 1 species
CACCGGCGGCUCGAGUGGUGGCCACUUUUAGUGGGUCUAAAGCGUCCGUAGCCGGCUUGGCAAGUCCCCUGGGAAAUCUGGCGGCUUAACCGUCAGGCGUCCAGAGGAUACUGCCAGGCUUGGGACCGGGAGAGGUGAGAGGAACCUCAGGGGUAGGGGUGAAAUCUUGUGAUCCCUGAGGGACCACAGUGGCGAAGGCGUCUCACUAGAACGGGUCCGACGGUCAGGGACGAAAGCUGGGGGCACGAACCGG